rnacentral:rRNA from 1 species
GGUAACUUAUUCUACUAAUCAAUAAUAAUGGAUCUAAGAAUCAUAAAUAAAUGUAUAAUAAAUAAUAAAAGUUAAAUAUAUAUCUUUUGUCGCCCCAACAAAAAAAUCUAAUCAACAGCAGUAAAAAUGAAACACAACAGCCAUUAAAAUUGACCAUUAAAGCUCUAUAGGGUCUUCUCGUCUUCCAAAAGAAUUUGAGCCUUUUAACUCAAAAGCUAAAUUUUAACUUAUUUAAUUGAGACAGUUAGAGCCUCGUCAAGCCCUUCAUUCCAGCCCCCUAUUAAAAGACUAAUGAUUAUGCUACCUUUGCACGGUCAAAAUACCGCGGCCGUUAAAUAAUUAUCACCGGGCAGGCUUGACCUCAUAUAAUAAAACAAGAGGAC